CCUACGGGAGGCAGCAGUGAGGAAUAUUGGUCAAUGGGCGAGAGCCUGAACCAGCCAAGCCGCGUGAGGGAAGACGGCCCUAUGGGUUGUAAACCUCUUUUGUCGGAGAACAAAACCCGGGACGCGUCCCGUCCUGCGUGUAUCCUAAGAACAAGCAUCGGCUAACUCCGUGCCAGCAGCCGCGGUAAUACGGAGGAUGCGAGCGUUAUCCGGAUUUAUUGGGUUUAAAGGGUGCGUAGGCGGUCUGGUAAGUCAGCGGUAAAAUUGCGGGGCUCAACCCCGUCGCGCCGUUGAAACUGGCAGACUUGAGUGGGCGAGAAGUACGCGGAAUGCGUGGUGUAGCGGUGAAAUGCAUAGAUAUCGCGCAGAACUCCGAUUGCGAAGGCAGCGUACCGGAGCCAGACUGACGCUGAGGCACGAAAGCGUGGGGAUCGAACAGGAUUAGAUACCCUUGUAGUC
rnacentral:rRNA from 1 species